GACGAACGCUGGCGGCGUGCUUAACCCAUGAAAGUCGAACGAAGUGGCGAACGGGUGAGUAACGCGUAAUUAACCUGCCCUUCAGAGGGGGACAACAGUUGGAAACGACUGCUAAUACCGCAUACUGAAGGAGGGGAUUGCGUCUGAUUAGCUAGUUGGGGGGGUAACGGCCCACCAAGGCGAUGAUCAGUAGCCGGUCUUGGAGGAUGAACGGCCACAUUGGGACUGGGACACGGCCCAGGCCCCUACGGGAGGCAGCAGUGGGGAAUCUUUCGCAAUGGACGAAAGUCUGACUGAGCAACGCCGCGUGAGUGAUGACGGCCUUCGGGUUGUAAAGCUCUGUUAAUCGGGACGCGUUACCGGAAUAGAAAGCCACGGCUAACUACGUGCCAGCAGCCGCGGUAAUUC
rnacentral:rRNA from 1 species